rnacentral:tRNA from 1 species
UGGAUAUUAGUUAAGUUAAUAAUAUUUAAUUUGCAAUUAAAAGUUAAUAUACAUGUAUAUUAUAUCUGA